rnacentral:rRNA from 1 species
ACAAUGGAGAGUUUGAUCCUGGCUCAGGAUGAACGCUAGCUACAGGCUUAACACAUGCAAGUCGAGGGGAAACGACAUCGAAAGCUUGCUUUUGAUGGGCGUCGACCGGCG